UACUCCGGGGAUAACAGGCUGAUACUGCCCAAGAGUCCAUAUCGACGGCAGUGUUUGGCACCUCGAUGUCGGCUCAUCUCAUCCUGGGGCUGAAGCAGGUCCCAAGGGUAUGGCUGUUCGCCAUUUAAAGAGGCACGCGAGCUGGGUUUAGAACGUCGUGAGACAGUUCGGUCCCUAUCUACCGUGGGCGUUGGAAAUUUGAGAGGAUCUGCUCCUAGUACGAGAGGACCAGAGUGGACGAACCUCUGGUGUUCGGGUUGUCACGCCAGUGGCAUUGCCCGGUAGCUAC
rnacentral:rRNA from 1 species